GGGGCCGUGGCUAAGUGGUAAAGCGCUCUUUGGUCUCUUCAUGGGCUCUCAAGUUCGAAUCUAGUAACGCCCACCCAUUAAAAAAAAGAGAAAAAAAAAGUGUUGAAGAAUAAGAGGCUCAGUAACAAAUUCUUAUAUAACAGAGUAAAAAGGCCCCGAGAGAUCAAAGAGAGACGAUGGUUCAAAUCCAUCCGGCUCCA
rnacentral:tRNA from 1 species